AUGCGCCUGCUUCCGAAUCGUUGCAAGCUCCGUCGAUCAGUUGGCACUUCAGACAUGCCGGGCGUCAAGUCGGAGUCUCCGGCGAGCGGCUUGCCGGCGCUCCCGCGCAUCCGCACCACUCGCCCUGCUGCGGCCUAUUCCAAGGCAGCAAGAGCCAAGGCGCGGGCAAGCACAAAGGCGGAAGCAGAGGAGAAGCGGCACAAUGGUGGUAGGGGGGCGUGUGGGAGCUCACCGGAGCUGGAGAAGAGGAGGUGCUCCUGGAUCACGGCCAACUCUGAACCCCUCUACGUUGCAUUCCAUGAUGAAGAAUGGGGAGCACCGGUGCACGAUGACCGUAAGUUGUUUGAGCUGCUCACCUUAUCACAAGCCUUAGCUGAGCUCUCCUGGCCUGUAAUUUUGAGCAAGAGGGAUGAGUUCAGGGAGAUGAUUGAUGGUUUCUACAAUGCAUCCGUGUGUGGCUGCACGGACAAGAAGAUAAACCAGCUGUCCAAAUCAAACGGAAGCACGUUGUUGUCACAGCAAAAGAUGCGAGCUGUGGCUGCAAACGCCAAGCAAAUUCAAAAGGUAGUUCGUGAAUUCGGAUCGUUCGACAACUACUGCUGGAGCUUCGUGAACCACAGGCCCAUCACAAACGGCUUCCGCUACGCUCGCCAAGUGCCCACCAAGACGCCCAAAUCUGAGGCUAUGAGCAAGGACCUGAUGCGGCGAGGGUUCCAGUGCGUCGGCCCCACGACGGUCUACUCCUUCAUGCAGGUCGCCGGCAUCGUGAACGACCACCUACGGUGCUGCUUCAGGUUUGAUCAGGCUGGCAGCCAGCCCAAGGCCGCCGAGGAGAACAUGAGAGCCGAUAUAAGAUUGGGGUCUCCCGCUUCAGAGGAUUCAGAGAUCAGCGAGGUGUAG
rnacentral:rRNA from 1 species